UUUGUGGUUGAAUGGGGCCUUGGAUGUGAGUUGUGGUCAAAAGACUGUCUCUGUCUGGCAGGCCACACCUUCCUGGCAGUCUCCCAUGCUUUUGUCCCCAUCCUUCAGCCACUUGA